GACGAACGCUGGCGGCGUGCCUAAUACAUGCAAGUUGAGCGCUGAAGGUUGGUACUUGUACCGACUGGAUGAGCAGCGAACGGGUGAGUAACGCGUGGGGAAUCUGCCUUUGAGCGGGGGACAACAUUUGGAAACGAAUGCUAAUACCGCAUAAAAACUUUAAACACAAGUUUUAAGUUUGAAAGAUGCAAUUGCAUCACUCAAAGAUGAUCCCGCGUUGUAUUAGCUAGUUGGUGAGGUAAAGGCUCACCAAGGCGAUGAUACAUAGCCGACCUGAGAGGGUGAUCGGCCACUUUGGGACUGAGACACGGCCCAAACUCCUACGGGAGGCAGCAGUAGGGAAUCUUCGGCAAUGGACGAAAGUCUGACCGAGCAACGCCGCGUGAGUGAAGAAGGUUUUCGGAUCGUAAAACUCUGUUGGUAGAGAAGAACGUUGGUGAGAGUGGAAAGCUCAUCAAGUGACGGUAACUACCCAGAAAGGGACGGCUAACUACGUG
rnacentral:rRNA from 1 species